rnacentral:rRNA from 1 species
CGCCAGACUCCUACGGGAGGCAGCAGUGGGGGAUAUUGCACAAUGGGGGGAACCCUGAUGCAGCGACGCCGCGUGGGUGAAGAAGUAUUUCGGUAUGUAAAGCCCUAUCGGCAGGGAAGAAAUUGGACGGUACCUGACUAAGAAGCCCCGGCUAACUACGUGCCAGCAGCCGCGGGAAUACGUAGGGGGCAAGCGUUAUCCGGAUUUACUGGGUGUAAAGGGAGCGUAGACGGCGAUACAAGUCUGAAGUGAAAGCCCGGGGCUCAACCCCGGGACUGCUUUGGAAACUGUGUUGCUGGAGUGCUGGAGAGGCAAGCGGAAUUCCUAGUGUAGCGGUGAAAUGCGUAGAUAUCAGGAGGAACACCGGCGGCGAAGGCGGCCUGCUGGACCGCGACUGACGUUGAGGCUCGAAAGCGUGGGGAGCGAACAGGAUUAGAUACCCGAGUAUU